rnacentral:rRNA from 1 species
GACGAACGCUGGCGGCGUGCCUAACACAUGCAAGUCAACUUGACUGAAGGAGCAAUCUGACAGUAGAGUGGCGCAAGGGUGCGUAACGCGUAAGUAACUUGCCCAAGGUAAGGAAUAACGUCGAGAAAUCGGCGCUAAUACCUCAUAAUGCAGCGGAUCCGCAUGGAUAUGUUGUUAAAGGUUUACCGCCUUGGGAUAGGCUUGCGUCUGAUUAGUUAGUUGGUGUGGUAACCGGCACACCAAGGCUACGAUCAGUAACUGGUCUGAGAGGAUGAUCAGUCACACUGGAACUAAGACACGGUCCAGACUCUACGGGAGGCAGCAGUGAGGAAUAUUGGGCAAUGCUCGAAAGAGUGACCCAGCAACGCCGCGUGGAGGAUGAAGGUAUUCUAUAUCGUAAACUCCUGUGAGAGCAGACGAAAGACAGAAUUA